rnacentral:rRNA from 1 species
UACGUAGGGGGCAAGCGUUGUCCGGAUUUAUUGGGCGUAAAGAGCGUGUAGGCGGCCGCACAGGUCCGUUGUGAAAACUGGAGGCUUAACCUUCAGACGUCGAUGGAAACCGUGCGGCUAGAGUCCGGAAGAGGAGAAUGAAAUUCCUGGUGUAGCGGUGAAAUGCGCAGAGUAUCAGGAAGAACACCCGUGGCUAAGGCGGUCUCUAGUACGGUACUGACGCUGAGACGCGAAAGCGUGGGGAGCGAACAGG